CAGCCGCCGCGGGAAUACGUAGGGUGCGAGCGUUAAUCGGAAUUACUGGGCGUAAAGCGUGCGCAGGCGGUUGUGUAAGACAGGUGUGAAAUCCCCGGGCUUAACCUGGGAACUGCGCUUGUGACUGCACAGCUAGAGUAUGGCAGAGGGGGGUGGAAUUCCACGUGUAGCAGUGAAAUGCGUAGAGAUGUGGAGGAACACCGAUGGCGAAGGCAGCCCCCUGGGCCAAUACUGACGCUCAUGCACGAAAGCGUGGGGAGCAAACAGGAUUAGAUACCCGAGUAGUCCUGUCUCUUAUACA
rnacentral:rRNA from 1 species